UGUGUGCCAAAUUAUCUGUAAA
rnacentral:siRNA from 1 species